rnacentral:rRNA from 1 species
CCUACGGGUGGCUGCAGUGGGGAAUAUUGGACAAUGGGGGGAACCCUGAUCCAGCCAUGCCGCGUGUGUGAAGAAGGCCCUCGGGUUGUAAAGCACUUUCAGUGAGGAAGAACGCCUGGUGGUUAAUACCCAUCAGGAAAGACAUCACUCACAGAAGAAGCACCGGCUAACUCCGUGCCAGCAGCCGCGGUAAUACGGAGGGUGCGAGCGUUAAUCGGAAUUACUGGGCGGAAAGCGCGCGUAGGUGGCUUGAUAAGCCGGUUGUGAAAGCCCCGGGCUCAACCUGGGAACGGCAUCCGGAACUGUCAAGCUAGAGUGCAGGAGAGGAAGGUAGAAUUCCCGGUGUAGCGGUGAAAUGCGUAGAGAUCGGGAGGAAUACCAGUGGCGAAGGCGGCCUUCUGGACUGACACUGACACUGAGGUGCGAAAGCGUGGGUAGCAAACAGGAUUAGAUACCCUGGUAGUC